UACCAGCACCCCGAGUGGUCGGGACGAUUAUUGGGCCUAAAGCAUCCGUAGCCGGUUCUGCAAGUCCCCCGUUAAAUCCAGCUGCUCAACAGAUGGGCCGCGGAGGAUACUACAGAGCUAGGAGGCAGGAGAGGCAAGCGGUACUCAGUGGGUAGGGGUAAAAAUCCGUUGAUCCAUUGAAGACCACCAGUGGCGAAGGCGGCUUGCCAGAAUGCGCUCGACGGUGAGGGAUGAAAGCUGGGGGGAGCAAAC
rnacentral:rRNA from 1 species